AUUGAACGCUGGCGGCAGGCCUAACACAUGCAAGUCGAGCGAGCGGCGGACGGGUGAGUAAUGUCUGGGGAUCUGCCUGAUGGAGGGGGAUAACUACUGGAAACGGUAGCUAAUACCGCAUACCAUCAGAUGUGCCCAGAUGGGAUUAGCUAGUAGGUGGGGUAACGGCGCACCUAGGCGACGAUCCCUAGCUGGUCUGAAAGGAUGACAAGCCAAACUGGGAAGGAGACACGGUCCAGACUCCUACGGGAGGCAGCAGUGGGGAAUAUUGCACAAUGGGCGCAAGCCUGAUGCAGCCAUGCCGCGUGUGUGAAGAAGGCCUUGGGGUUGUAAAGCACUUUCAGCGGGGAGGCGUUACUCACAGAAGAAGCACCGGCUAACUCCGUGCCAGCAGCCGCGGUAAGUC
rnacentral:rRNA from 1 species